AAAUGAUGUCACUGAACAAUUUUCUGCAAAAAUUUUGGCAAAAUAAUCUAAAGAAUUGUAGAGGAAACGUUAUGAACCAUAAAUCACCUCACAUAACCAAAUGAACAAUGCUCAUUUUCAAUGCUCGUUUUCCCUUUGUUCUUCACUUUUCUGUGCGUUUGACUUCAUGGCAUUGUUUUGACAUGUGGGUGGAGUCGAGAAACUGGGGCGUGUUCAGCGGGCCUGAGCUAAUGUAUUAAAGUUUUAUUAAUGUUACUGUGGUAUGAACAGGGCGGGGCGAGAGCCGCGGGAGAGGAACGAGGCCGCUGAAGUGAAUGCUAAUGAGAGACACCUGCGAGAAACACUGGCCUCGAGUCUGGAGCUUUUAUUAUGCUUAUGCUGCAGUCUUCUGCUCUUUUCGUUGUGUAUGUGGGGUAACGCAGCGCUGUUUUACAUGGUUAAAACAAUCAUACUAAAUACAUCUGAGUGUGUUGAAAGUGACUCUGAGAGACUUGUUGCACUUUGCAGUAAUCUAGAUCGAUAUUAGAAUAUCAUAUUAAUAAAAACUGGAUGACUUGUGUUGCUAAAUGACAUAAAAUUUCAUUUUAAAAUAUAUUGUAUGAUGGAGAAAGCUCUCUCUGAUAACGUGGGUAAUGCGGAAAUGACGUCAUUGACAUGGUCUGUGUCCUGAUUAAAAUUGCUGAUUUCUCUGCAGGUUUAAAUACUGUUGGAAACGUUUGGGAUAAUGUAAGUACACAAGUCAACAAAAUAUUGUUCUUUUGGUGUUUGGAUAUUUUAAUCCAAAAAUCUUACAUAUUGUGCCUUUAAUAGAAAAACAAAUCUAAAGAAAUUUUCAAAUGCUAAAUGCUAAAACAGACACUGAAGACAAAAACUAUUUGGACACUUUCUGGAUAUUAGACAGUACUGGAUCAUGUCUACAGUUAAUACUGGCCUGUACAAAACAUCUGGACCGUCAGUUUUAUCAGUAUGUUCCUUAAGUGUUUUUUUUAUUCAGCUCUUGUUUUUCCACACAGUCAUAUGAACCUUACUAUAAACGUUUAAUUAAUUCAAAUAACCUUAAGCAUUUGUUCACAUAAUCAUAUUUAAAGAAAAAAUGUGCAUCUCUCUGAUAAAUAAGCAAAUAUCUCACAGAUUAUGUGGGGAUAAUGUAACAUUUGAAAUUCAUUUCAGCAUAAAAGGCACAUGUAAAAUUUCUUUAAAAAUGGUUUCUAAGGUAACUCCAUUUCAGGAAAUGACAUCAUCACCCUAUUUUCAUACAGCACCCUAAGUUCAUACAAAAGCAGUGUGAAACCUGAAAGACAGCUUUACACCAAGGUAGACUUUUUAUUUUUUCACCGGAUGAAUGAUGUUUUUAUACAUUUAUAUUGUCCUCCUCUUAAAGAUGCCAGCAGUUCUGGGAGUGACUGUGGAACAAGAUCCAAAGGCUUUGGUUAAGGCAGUGGGCAAAACUGUGUAUCUGCCCUGCAAAGUGAACGAUAUGAGCUCUUCAGAUUAUAUCCACUGGUACCAAAUGAAAGAUGGUAAAGCCCCGUCAAGACUGCUCUAUAUCAGUGAUGGUGGUGGUGUCACUCGUGAUAGCAACAAUCCCCAAGCAAACGACUUCACAGUGGACAAAAAAAAGCUUUAUGAUCUAAAACUGAGUGACAUUAAGAAGAGUCACGCUGCCGUUUACUUCUGUGCCUACUGGGAGUGGGACUCAAGCUACAGCCACAGUGAGAACAUUUACUCACAUCCUGUACAUGAACUACACUGGUAAAUUUCAUUCAAAACUGAUGAAUGAAAUAUUUAUAUACUUUAAUAUUUAUUUACCUGUCAUUUUCUGUUUAAGUUCUCAAUUUGAAUUAAGCUGCAUAUGCACAGGAUGACUGGAUGAAGGUAUUUGGAUCUGUUCGGAUCUGAACUUUAUUGUCCUGCUGUUCAUUAUGAGGUUAUUUGUACACACUGUAUUAUUGUGAUUUUGGAAUAUGUCAGGUGUAUCUCAUAUUUGUUAUGCUUUGUGAAGAUAUAAAUAAAAUAUUUGGCAUUUCCAGAUUUGUAGUUUUCAGUUUGAUGAAGAGUUCAAAUAUCACUUGUCCUUGUGUGGUGAAAAUAAAUUCAGUAUAUUCAGCAGUGUGCAAACUUUAUGUGCUUUACACAUGUAUUUUAAGUCAUUUCUGUAUCAUUUCUGAAGCUGACAGACAUUCCACAAAUAUACUGGAUUAAUUGAACUAUAGUCUAAUUGAACAAAUGUAUGAAUAUUGUAGGCUAUAGCCUAAUAUAAAGCAGAUCUUACCAUUUAUUUUAAAAGCACAAAAAGAGUAGCUCUUUUAGUUUAUCUCUGUGACCAAUUUAGCAAUAGCCUUUACCCUUUUUUAAACUGCAUUGUGAAUUUUACAACCAAUGUAUUCCUAAUUACAUCACAGUUUUUAAACUAAAUUUUAGCCUACUCAAAGCAUCUUGCCAACACAGACAAUCCGUGAAACAUCUUCACCUGUUCAGCAUCUGUUUAAAUCAAGCCACUAUAAACCGAGUGCCACUGAGGAAGAGCCUCUUACUGUGAGAUCUGCUCUGGAGAAGCCUUUAAUAAACCAGGGUUAAAUUACAUGUGUUUAAUGUUGUCUAACCCAUGAUUGGUUUAACUUGUGUGAAAAACCUUGUGAUAGUGAUGUGACGAGAUAAAGAGGAAACCACAAGGCCAUCAUCAUAUCUUCUGAUUGGCAGAUGCAGUUCAUAAUUCAUCAAACUCCUGGAUGACAGAUGUAGACAUGGCGAUGUCUGGAAUGAUAACAUUUGUGCUGUUAGUGGUCUUAAUAGAUUGUUUAAAUGGACAAAAUAUCCCUACGCAUCCUGACCGUGUGAUGAUUAAAGCAACGGGUAAAGCUACUAGGAUCAGAUGCAUUGUGGAUUCAUCGACGCUUCAGUCCAGCGCUCUCCACUGGUACAGAGCUCAGUCAGGGGGAGCUUUCCAACGAUUAAUGUAUUUCGAUGCUGGAUCGACAAAAGCAAUAAACGAUCAGGGUGUGUCCACUGGAUCAUAUAUUGGAUCGGUGAGAAAUUCAGCUGACAGUAACACAAAGCAAGUGUCACUGACUAUCUCAAACCCGACGACUAAAGAUACAGGAUCAUAUUACUGCGCGCUCUGGACUGACAGCAACACAGUGCUAACUGUAAGAGGAAAUCAUUACAAAAACCUGCUUUCAUAAUCAAAGCGGUUUAUGUGGAACAACAGUAGCAGCAAGGGGGAGACAUGCGGAAUAUUUUAAUUGUUAUGUUGCUUUUUGUUGUGAAUAUUUCAUUAAAAAAACAGCUUUAAAUAUUCUUGUGCAUCAGCGUCUCAGAAGAACCCUAAACACAAACUAGAUACUGUAGCCUACUAUAGAGACAACAGCCUACAAUAAAAGUGUUUCUUCAUCUGUAUGCUGUGGUCAUCUUAGCCUAUAAUAGGUUAAUCUUUAUUAAAAUGAAAAGCUUUUUUUAUAUGAAGGUAUAAAAAUUGCUUGCAAACCUUUUAUCAUGUCUUGUUUCUUAAAAUGCCUUUUAUGUGCAGAUUUUCUUUUUAUUUUACAGUUGUCACAAACCCAAAUCUUCAAUCUUAAUUUACAUUUAAAAUAACUUUUUUAAAUGAUAAUCUUGGUUAAACAAUCACAGACUAUUUAACCAUUUGUGGAAUUUAUUUUUUAAUAUCAGUUUCUUCAAAUUAAACUGUCCCACAGCUGUGACAUCACUUCCUCAUCAAACAUUUUGCCCAUAACAAAGUUAUCGGAUACAAACAAGACAAAAGUGUCAAUGAAGAGCAUGUUUGAAAAGAAAUAUGAGACAUGGUGUGUGAAGAAAAUCAAUAAAAAUGAAGAUAAAGCA